UACGGAAGGCAGCAGUGGGGAAUAUUGCACAAUGGGCGCAAGCCUGAUGCAGCCAUGCCGCGUGUAUGAAGAAGGCCUUCGGGUUGUAAAGUACUUUCAGUCGUGAGGAAGGUGUUAAGGUUAAUAACCUUAGCAAUUGACGUUAGCGACAGAAGAAGCACCGGCUAACUCCGUGCCAGCAGCCGCGGUAAUACGGAGGGUGCGAGCGUUAACCGGAAUUACUGGGCGUAAAGGGCACGCAGGCGGUUAAUUAAGUUGGAUGUGAAAUCCCCGGGCUUAACCUGGGAAUGGCAUUCAAGACUGGUUAGCUAGAGUCUUGUAGAGGGGGUAGAAUUCCAUGUGUAGCGGUGAAAUGCGUAGAGAUGUGGAGGAAUACCGGUGGCGAAGGCGGCCCCUGGACAAAGACUGACGCUCAUGUGCGAAAGCGUGGGGAGCAAAC
rnacentral:rRNA from 1 species